UACGGAGGUUCCUAGCGUUGUUCGGAAUUAUUGGGCGUAAAGAGCGUGUAGGCGGCCAGAUAAGUCCGCUGUGAAAUCUCGAGGCUCAACUUCGAGCUGUCGGUGGAAACUAUCUGGCUAGAGUCCGGAAGAGGAGAAUGGAAUUCCUGGUGUAGCGGUGAAAUGCGCAGAUAUCAGGAAGAACACCCGUGGCGAAGGCGGUUCUCUGGGACGGUACUGACGCUGAGACGCGAAAGCGUGGGGAGCGAACAGG
rnacentral:rRNA from 1 species